rnacentral:rRNA from 1 species
UACGUAGGGUGCAAGCGUUAAUCGGAAUUACUGGGCGUAAAGCGUGCGCAGGCGGUGAUGUAAGACAGAUGUGAAAGCCCCGGGCUCAACCUGGGAAUGGCAUUGGAAACUGGCGAGCUGGAGUGUGGCAGAGGGGGGUGGAAUUCCGCGUGUAGCGGUGGAAUGCGUAGAGAUCCGGAAGAACACCGGUGGCGAAGGCGGCCCGCUGGGCAGUUGCUGACACUGAGGCGCGACAGCGUGGGGAGCAAACAGG